AUUGAACGCUGGCGGAAUGCUUUACACAUGCAAGUCGAACGGUAGAGGGGGCAACCCCUUGAGAGUGGCGAACGGGUGAGUAAUAUAUCGGAACGUGCCCAGUCGUGGGGAUAACGUAGCGAAAGUUACGCUAAUACCGCAUACGAUCUAAGGAUGAAAGCGGGGGACUCGCAAGAGCCUCGCGCGAUUGGAGCGGCCGAUAUCAGAUUAGGUAGUUGGUGGGGUAAAGGCUCACCAAGCCAACGAUCUGUAGCUGGUCUGAGAGGACGACCAGCCACACUGGAACUGAGACACGGUCCAGACUCUACGGAGGCAGCAGUGGGAAUUUUGGACAAUGGACGCAAGUCUGAUCCAGCAUUCGCGUGCAGGUUGAAGGCCCUCGGGUUGUAAACUGCUUUGUACGGAACGAAACGGUGUAGCUCUAAUACA
rnacentral:rRNA from 1 species